rnacentral:tRNA from 1 species
AGCACUAUAAUGUAAUGGAUAACAUAUUAGACUCAUGUUCUAUUAAUAUAGGUUCAAGUCCUAUUAGUGCAU